UACGAAGGGAGCUAGCGUUGUUCGGAAUCACUGGGCGUAAAGCGCACGUAGGCGGAUGUGUCAGUCAGGGGUGAAAUCCCGGAGCUCAACUUCGGAACUGCCCUUGAUACAACACGUCUUGAGUCCGAGAGAGGUGAGUGGAAUUCCUAGUGUAGAGGUGAAAUUCGUAGAUAUUAGGAAGAACACCGGUGGCGAAGGCGGCUCACUGGCUCGGUACUGACGCUGAGGUGCGAAAGCGUGGGGAGCAAACAGG
rnacentral:rRNA from 1 species